GGAGAAGUUAUUGUGCUUGAAAUAUCUAGGCAGGAGGUUUGUGGAGAAAGAAUGAGGAUCCCACACAACGAAGCUAGUACCUUCUGUGCUCCAAGAAACUACAUGAUUGGUAAUUGGGUCAUCCACCAUCUCUAAAGUCUUGGUCAGGAAUGGUGGUGGUCCCGUGUCAUGCAGCCCUUCCAUCGGUUGCGGCAGGACAGUUAUUGGUGGUUCAUCACCGGACUGCGACAAGCUUGAUCCUGGGUACUCUUCCUUCACCGCGUAAUAUGGAUUCAUCGUUGCAGUUGGAUUGAUCCCUUUACCAGUUUCCGUAAUUUGAAAGUAAAAAACAAAAACAGAGGAUACUUGUAGGAGCUAGAAUCGUAAGUACAGUAGUAGAUAAACAAAUCUAAAGUUGAACUCUGGAGAGAAGCACUACAUAAAAUUCAGCACAAAUAACAGAAAACGGUAGGUGAUUUUGACAAAAAGGAGGAGAAAAAAGAUCGAUUUGAGUUUUUUUUUUUUUUUU
rnacentral:misc_RNA from 1 species